UGAGGAAUAUUGGUCAAUGGGCGCAAGCCUGAACCAGCCAUGCCGCGUGGAGGAUGACAGCCUUCUGGGUUGUAAACUUCUUUUAUAUGGGAAGAACAAUACGGUUUCUACUGUAUCCGACGGUACCAUAUGAAUAAGCACCGGCUAACUCCGUGCCAGCAGCCGCGGUAAUACGGAGGGUGCAAGCGUUAUCCGGAUUUACUGGGUUUAAAGGGUGUGUAGGCGGAUAUUUAAGUCAGAGGUGAAAUCUCCGGGCUCAACCCGGAAACUGCCUUUGAUACUAUUUAUCUUGAAUUUCGUUGAGGUUGGCGGAAUAUAUCAUGUAGCGGUGAAAUGCAUAGAUAUGAUAUAGAACACCGAUUGCGUAGGCAGCUGGCUGAACGACGAUUGACGCUGAGGCACGAAAGCGUGGGUAGCGA
rnacentral:rRNA from 1 species